GAAAUUCCUUGUCGGGUAAGUUCCGACCCGCACGAAAGGCGCAACGAUCUGGGCACUGUAUCAACGCGAGCCACGGUGAAAUGAUAGUUCCUGUGAAGAUGCAGGUUACCCGCGACAGGACGGAAAGCCCCCGUGGAGCUUUACUGCAACCUGAUAUGGAAUGUUUGUACCGCUUGUACAGGAUAGGUAGGAGCCGAAGAGACGUGUGCGCUAGCAUACGAGGAGGCAAUGGUGGGAUACUACCCUGGCUGUAUG
rnacentral:rRNA from 1 species